UACAGAGGGUGCAAGCGUUAAUCGGAAUUACUGGGCGUAAAGCGUGCGUAGUCGGCUUUUCAAGUCGGGUGUGAAAGCCCCGGGCUCAACCUGGGAAUUGCAUUCGAUACUGGAUCGCUAGAGUUCGGCAGAGGGAAGCGGAAUUUCGGGUGUAGCGGUGAAAUGCGUAGAUAUCCGAAGGAACAUCAGUGGCGAAAGCGGCUUCCUGGACCAGAACUGACGAUCAGGCACGAAAGCGUGGGGAGCAAACAGG
rnacentral:rRNA from 1 species